rnacentral:tRNA from 1 species
GGUAGAGCGCUGCCCUGAAGAGGCAGGCGUAGCCAGUUCGACUCUGGCCUGGGCCACCA